rfam:TPA: Bos taurus chromosome 5, whole genome shotgun sequence.
UCCCUGGUGAUUCAGUAGCUAAGACUGCACUCCCAAUGCAGGGGCCCUGGGUUCAAUUCCUGGUCAAGGAA